GUUUUUUAUUUCAGCAUAUAUGAAAAUGGGCUUUGGGCAACAUCUUCAUCAUAUAUAUAUAUAUAUAUUUUUGGUUAUCAUCCUAUGUUUUUAAGUUUAGGCAUUCUACACUCAAAACAGUCUCAUCUUUCAGAAAAAUAUACAAAAUCAUUUUUGCCCCACCUCCCCCAGGAAGAGGAAUUCAAAAAGACACUUAGGAAAGUGCCCGGCUCAUCAAGAAGAAGACAAGAGAACCCUGCCUAAGGAAAACUCCAGACCAGUACUGCACACUGGGUCCAGCAAGGUCAGACGCCCAGCAGGCAGGUGGCAGGCUUAUUUUCCAAGCACUGGCAGCAGCCUUCCAGCGCAUGAGGUGGGACAAGCAAUGAGGGCUGCAGAGUCUGCAAACUCAAGCAAGAAAAUAAGAACUACUGCCCCGGCAAACAAAGCCGUUCACUCACGCUCCUCCUUCUUUCUGUUCCAUUUCAUCCCCCAAGGGCUAUGUUGCUCAGCAAUAAAUGCUAAUGCCACUUUUGA